AGGACAAACGCUGGCGGCGUGCCUAAGACAUGCAAGUCGAACGGGGGCUUCGGCCCUAGUGGCGGACGGGUGAGGAACGCGUGACUGACCUGCCUUUUGGUGGGGAUAACACACAGAAAUGGGUGCUAAGGCCGCAUAAGACAGCGAGCUGCGAGGCUUGUUGGGAAAACCGCAAGGUGCCGAAAGAGGGGUCGCGUCGGAUUAGCUAGUUGGUGGGGUAACGGCCUACCAAGGCGAUGAUCCGUAGCUGGUCUGAGAGGACGGCCAGCCACACUGGGACUGAGACACGGCCCAGACUCCUACGGGAGGCAGCAGUUAGGGAAUUUUGACAAUGGGCGAAAGCCUGAUCGAGUGACGCCGCGUGCGGGACGACGCCUUUCGGGGUGUAAACCGCUUUUCUCUGGGGAGAGGCAGGACGGUACCAGAGGAAUAAGCAUCGGCUAACUACGUGCCAGCAGCCGC
rnacentral:rRNA from 1 species